rnacentral:tRNA from 1 species
GACCCGGUAGCUCAGCUGGUAGAGCAUCGGACUUUUAAUCCGCAGGUCGUGGGUUCGAGCCCCACCCGGGUCA